UACGAAGGGGGCGAGCGUUGUUCGGAUUUACUGGGCGUAAAGGGCGCGUAGGCGGCCCUCCUUGUCGCGUGUGAAAGCCCCGGGCUCAACCUGGGAAUGGCAUUGGAAACUGGCUGGCUAGAGUGUGGCAGAGGGGGGUGGAAUUCCGCGUGUAGCAGUGAAAUGCGUAGAGAUGCGGAGGAACACCGAUGGCGCAAGGCAGCCCCCUGGGCUAGCACUGACGCUCAGGCACG
rnacentral:rRNA from 1 species